rnacentral:rRNA from 1 species
GUCCUUUGGUUUUUAUAUUUAAGGUCUAGCCUGCCCACUGAAUUUAUAUUUUAAAUGGCCGCAGUAUUUUGACUGUGCAAAGGUAGCAUAAUCAUUAGUUUUUUAAUUAAAAGCUUGUAUGAAAGGUUGGACGAGGUAAAAUCUGUCUCUAUUUAAAUUAUAGUAGAAUUUAACUUUUAAGUCAAAAGGCUUAAAUAUUAUUAAAAGACGAGAAGACCCUAUAGAUCUUUAUAAUUUAUUAAGUAAAAUUAAUUUAGAAAUUUUAAUGUUUUAUUUAUUUAAAUUAUUUUAUUGGGGUAAUAAAAAGAUUGAAUUAAUUCUUUUUUAUGAUAAACAUUAAUUUAUGAAUAUUAACGAUCCAAUUUUAUUGAUUAUAAGAUUAAGUUACCUUAGGGAUAACAGCGUAAUUUUUUUAGAGAGUUCAUAUCGAUAAAAAAGUUUGCGACCUCGAUGUUGGAUUAAAGAUUAUUUUAGGUGUAGCAGCUUGAUAAUUUUGGUCUGUUCGACCAUNAAAUCUUUAC